CUUCCUGUUUAAUAACUAUGGACAGUCAUAUUUCUCUCGCCUGUUCACACAUCAAAAAGACCAGAUCACCUAGGCAGAACUGAUAAAAGGACACGAUUUUGUCACGAAUAUGAUCCAGGCCAUGACUGAACAAAACACCACAACAUUAGGAGAGAAUGCGGUGUGGGCUAGGGGGUUAUCCAAGCGAUACGGAAAGAAAGAUGAUCCAGUCCUUCAAAACCUGGCGAUGACUGUAGAGAGAGGCUCUAUAUAUGGACUAUUGGGGCCGAGUGGAUGUGGUAAGACCACCUUACUGCGGUGUAUCGUAGGCCGCCUGUCUGUGGACCGUGGUAACCUAGUGGUUCUGGGGGAGAAACCGGGAACGCCAGGACACGGGAUACCAGGAAGUCUGGUCGGGUACAUGCCACAGGAAAUGGCGUUGUUUAACAAGAUGACAAUCAGAGAAACACUUUUCUACUUCGGCCGCAUACAUAGAAUGUCAAGUCACCAGAUAGAUGAGAGGAUUUUGUUCCUGCUACAGUUCCUUACCCUUCCUGAUCAGGGUAGAAUAGUGGACACGCUCAGCGGGGGACAGAAGAGACGUGUGUCAUUUGCUGUGGCACUUCUACACGAGCCGGAACUACUGAUCCUGGACGAACCAACCGUAGGGGUGGACCCUCUUCUACGGGAACGAAUUUGGGAACAUCUGGUGAAAAUAGCGGGACAUGACAGCCUAAAAACAACCAUUAUCAUCACAACCCACUAUAUUGAGGAGGCGAGACAGGCCAACACUGUGGGAUUGAUGAGGGGUGGUCGUUUGCUGGCUGAGGAGGAACCGAACAUAUUGAUCCAAAAACAUCACAUAAAUAGCCUGGAAGCUGUUUUCCUUAAACUUUGCCAAAAUGACGAUCUGGCUGAAGGUGAUGACUUGGAAAACGGCCAUGUAAUGUCGGCUGGAACUACUGAUGUAGGGGAGAGAACUCCACUUCUGGCUGGCAACAGAGGUGUGGAAUUCAGCGAAGAGAUACAAACAGAUCAUAUAUAUGAACACAAGGUAAUAACGACGGGCAGUAGGUGUACCUGUGGACUUCCUAGUGGAAAAAACAUUGUCGCUCAGUUCCUCAAAAACUUAACGCUGAUGAAGCGGAACAUAGGGUUUCUACUGUUUGAGUUCAUACUGCCGUCCAUCCAGAUCGUCCUCUUCUGUUUGUGUAUUGGAGGAGACCCGUACAACCUGAAAGUGGCCAUCUUCAACAAUGAGACCUCAGGGUUCAGCCAUCUGUUUAUACAGAACCUGGACAACACCACCAUCAAUAAGGUGAUGUUCAGUGACCUGGGGUCAGCUCGACAUUGUGUGGAAAAAGGGGAAGCAUGGGGUCUAAUGACAAUAGGGGAAAACUUCACACAGGACCUCAUCACACGAUUUAGCAAUAGUUCCCAUGUAAGCAACAGUACACUGGACGGAGGUACAAUAAAACUCUAUCUGGAUAUGACCAACCAGCAAAUAGCAGUGAUGCUCCAACAGACGGUUGCCGAGGCCUUUGAGACAUUUUCCCGGUCACUACUGACAAUGAUAGGUCUGAAUCCUGACAUUGCACAGCUACCUGUCAAGCUGGGAGAACCAAUAUAUGGCAGCUUAGAUCCCAGUUUCACAAACUUUAUGGCACCUGGCAUCAUACUCAGUAUUACGUUUUUCAUGGCGACUGGCUUGACAACCCUGGCCUUUGUGGUAGAGAAGAAGGAGGGUCUACUGGAGAGAAGCAUUGUUUCAGGUCCCCUACAAAGGCCCUCUGAUCUGGGUGAUUAUACUGGUGUUGUUACAGGGCUUCUGUGGUAUGACUCUAGGUGUGAUCAUAUCUGUUGUUUGUGAAGAAGAAAGUUCUGCAAUACAGUUGGCUUUAGGCUCGGUGUACCCAAUGUUGUUACUCAGUGGGAUAAUCUGGCCAGUAGAAGCUAUGCCACAGUGGCUACGCUACAUCAGUGUAUGUCUACCUAUGACAUACGGAGCCGACGCCAUGCG
rnacentral:misc_RNA from 1 species